UGACGGUAUCAUAUGAAUAAGCACCGGCUAACUCCGUGCCAGCAGCCGCGGUAAUACGGGGGGUGCAAGCGUUACUCGGAAUCACUGGGCGUAAAGAGCAUGUAGGCGGGUGAAUAAGUUGGAAGUGAAAUCCUAUAGCUUAACUAUAGAACUGCUUCCAAAACUGUUCACCUAGAGUAUGGGAGAGGUAGAUGGAAUUUCUGGUGUAGGGGUAAAAUCCGUAGAGAUCAGAAGGAAUACCGAUUGCGAAGGCGAUCUACUGGAACAUUACUGACGCUCAGAUGCGAAAGCGUGGGGAGCAAACAGGAUUAGAUACCCUGGUAGUCCACGCCCUAAACGAUGUACACUAGUUGUUGCUAUACUAGAUAUGGCAGUAAUGCAGUUAACACUUUAAGUGUACCGCCUGGGGAGUACGGUCGCAAGAUUAAAACUCAAAGGAAUAGACGGGGACCCGCACAAGCGGUGGAGCAUGUGGUUUAAUUCGACGAUACGCGAAAAACCUUACCUGGCCUUGACAUAGUAGGAAUCUUUAAGAGAUUAGAGAGUGCUAGCUUGCUAGAACUUACAUACAGGUGCUGCACGGCCGUCGUCAGC
rnacentral:rRNA from 1 species